ensembl:lncRNA
AGAGGAUCCGUCCACGCUCCCUGCGCCGCGCACCCGCACCCCCUACUGACCUCGCUGCUCCCCAUCCCUUGACCUCCCCCCCCUUUUACCCCCUGCUUUCUGCAGCGCCCCAGCCAUGACAUACCUCCACCUCCGGCGAACAGCGGGGCGGUUGAGAGAAAAGGGGGAAAGAAGGAGCAAACCAUCCAGGACCUCUCAUUCCCCGUCUCCACCACUUUUUACAAAACGGGGAGGGGGGAGAUUCUUAGAACACAACCAUUAGGGAACUUUGAGUUCCGUGUCUUCUUCUUUCCAACUCCUUACUUUUUUUUUUUCUCUGUAAUUCACUCCCCAGCAGGAUUGAAGUUGUGCAGGAGCAAGGAAAAGAGCGGACCAAACCCACUCCAGCCUUCUGCACCCGAGAAUCGCCCGCCACGCGCCCCCUGAAGCCCCUGCCCUGAUUCCGCUGUCCCUCCGAUUUGCCCCGCUGCAGCCCACGGGACUCCGGACGUUCUGUAUUUUCUUUGGCCCCGUCGUGCCCAGGCGGAAAGACGGGGUGGGGGAGGAGGGAGGAGGGGAGGAAGAGGAAAACAGAAAGGGAAGCCACGGACGGUCCUGCCACUCUCAAGCACCGUACAUCUCCCAGUCUUGCCUUCCCCCCCCCCCGCCGAAAAAAACCGGGCAAGGUCGAAAGAACGCCCCGUCUGCAAAACCCCUCCGGGCUGCUUCGGUCCUGUCGACUGCCUUCACUUCUUUUCCGGCAGCCGCGGGAGCGCACCUCUCUCGAGCUCCCGGGCGUCGCGCUUCAGCGCCGGGCGCCCCUUCCAGGGAAGCGUGGAGGACGGUAAGGAGACNAGAAGACUAGGGAAGGAGUCCCCAUCUCUUGCGCGGCCAGAGAAGCGUGGGCUCCCUUGGCAGGGUCGGAUCGGGAGCCUUCUCCUCCUCCUCCUCCUCCUCCUCCGUUCUGCUUGCCCUGUCUCCGUCUCCUUCUACAGUGGCCAAGAGCUUGCCUCUGGGGAGCGCCCAAAUUUAUAAGCCAAGCUGUCCUUCCUCCCAUGGAACAACAGAAGGAACCUACGAUCCAAAAUCUUUUGCAUCUGAUCAUCAUGACCUGGAGAGAAUACAGAUUAUUUUUCACAUUGCAAAUCCAGAUUUCAGUGUGUGCAGAGACUUAGGCCACGUCUCCGUGGCNAUAAGCAUCAGCAGGCACUGCCUUGUCUCCAGGUCUGGGCACACGGCUGCCUGAAAAAAUGGGGGGACAAGAUGGGUACUGGAGUGCAAUUCCUUUCUUCACCCCUCCACACCUCAGGUGGGCAAUGAACACCUUGACAGGCACAUCAUGCUGCUGAAAAUGAGGACACAAUGCCAGGACCCUCCCAGGAGGUGCCUGCAGUGUUAGGUAGAGAUUAGGGAUUUGCACAAACUGAAAUUUAGGGGUUCCAUUUAGGGGUUCAGGAUCUCUUCAAACCAUAUUUUUCUAACUACAGGGUGGUUCAGUUCACAUGCAAACCAAGCAAACCAUAAUGAACCACCCUUGGUUCACUAUGGUUUGCUUGGUUCGUUAGAACAUCCUUCGGUUCAGGUUCGAUUCAAACCUGUUUUUCUCAAACAGCAGUUUGGUUCAUAUGCAUGCUAUGUGAACAACCCAGUUUGCUGCAAAUCAUGAACCAGCUGAACCAGUUUGGCACAUCUCUAGUAGAGACACAACCUUUACAAGGGCAGCUGUUCAAUACCAUAUUUGUUCGCUGUACUGUUCUGUCCUUGUACCCCCCACAUCUAAUCCUUUUCUUUGAAGAGGCCUUCUAAAGGUUAGCUCAGACAAGAUCUUCCUUUGAAGAAGAAAAUUGCCUUUUGAAUGGCCGGAGCUCAGGAGACUUAACGUAUCCUUUAAGGCAAUGUAUAGUUUAAAGCCAAAUUGACCAGUUAUCGUUUCUGAAAAUGUGCAGAAGUGAACUGAACAACCUGCUUCAUUAGGCCAUUAAAGUAUUUUAGAGGCUUUAAAUUCUCUGUCUCUGUAUAUAUAGUGUAAGUGGUCAACAGAUCUAGUAGUUCAUUGAUGGAUUCUGGGAUAUUGUCAUCGAAGAAACAAAGCAGUGCCUGUAUUCCAAAUGUCACUGCAANGUUGCUGUGAAAUUUCCAGAGUCCUUCCAGAUGUUUUGAAAUCACUUCUAGGCAUUUGUUCAAUGUUCUUUUGGGGCUCCAUUCUGGAUAUUUCUGCAAGGAUGAAGACAGAAGUGAAUAUAUACAGACUAGCAUGUUUUGAAAAAGAGGAGUUCCUCUCAAUACCUUCCCUCCCUCUCUCCCUUUCCUCUCUCUUUUCUCCUCCCUCCCUCCCUCUCUUCCAGACCUCCAAAUGUAACAUUCAAUAAAAUCUGACUGAUUUAGGUAUCCCA